AUACGUAGGUGACAAGCGUUAUCCGGAUUUACUGGGUUUAAAGGGUGCGCAGGCGGCCAUUUAAGUCAGCGGUUAAAUCGUGGGGCUCAACCCCAUUCUGCCGUUGAUACUGGGUGGCUUGAUUGCGGUCGAGGUUGGCGGAAUUCGUUGUGUAGCGGUGAAAUGCAUAGAUAUGACGAAGAACACCGAUUGCGUAGGCAGCUGACCAGACCGCAAAUGACGCUCAUGCACGAAAGUGCGGGGAUCGAACAGGAUUAGAUACCCUGGUAGUCCGCACAGUAAACGAUGAAUACUUGUUUUCGGCGAUAUAAUGUCGGAGGCAAAGCGAAAGCGAUAAGUAUUCCACCUGGGGAGUACGCCGGCAACGGUGAAACUCAAAUGAAUUGACGGGG
rnacentral:rRNA from 1 species